GCCAGGGGAGGGAGGGAGGGAGAGAGGGAGGUGGGGGCGGCCGCGCGGCGCCCGGCGCGCUGCCUGACGGGUAGAGCGCGGGUCAGCCCCACAGCGGCGCCUGCUUUCCGGCAGCCGCGGGGCGGGGCCGCGCCGGGGCCGCGCGGGGGCGGGGCCGCGCGCCAUGUGCCCGGCCUCGCGCCCCUUCCGCCGGCCGCCCGGCCCGGCCCGGCCCCGCCUGCCCUCCGGUGCCUUGGCGGGGGCUGACAGGGCCGGCCGUGAGGCGGCCAGAUCCACGGCGGCACCCGUGGGCGCGGAGGGGACCCGCCAGCAACGUUCGCCUCAGCGGUGCCCCCGGAACGUUGCAAAACAGGUAGAUGAGGCCUUAACUGGGCAGUGAAGCCGUGGUCGCUAGAGAAAACAGUCCUGGAGCACAGUACGGCAAAGAGCUGCGUUUUCACUCACCUCAGAAUUUGCACAUGAAAAUCUCUGAAUCAAAAGUGGUCAAGAUACAGAAGAAUAAGAGAUGGCCGAAUGGAAGCUAGAGCGCAGCAGAUAGCUAGUCUGUGACAGCCUAACGGAGGUGGGAGACGAUACAUGUGAGAUGAAAAUCAGCUUCUGCAGCAGCAGUCCCAGAUGGACUGUUGUGAUUUACUGAGCAGUCAAGACUGUAGAAGCCAGUGACUGACACCCUGCCACUGACCUGAUCUUUGUCUCUGAUGGAGCUGAGAACAACUGGCAGCAGAAAUGAAGGUGAGGCAACUGAGAUGAAGAAAAUUAAACUGACCUAUACAAAGUUACUCGAUUAUUGGCAGAGUUGAAAGCCCAGAGAGAAAAAUCAUAGCUCCACUGAAGAGAAACCUAAAACUUUGAGAUGGUUCAGGAGGGCAAGAUUCUCCUACAAGUCUUCUAUUUGCGCUGCUAAAAUAUUUUCCUUAACAUUUAAAAUAAGAACAGGAAUUGUAAUAUUUAAAGCUAUGAAAUGGAAGGCAGUAUUCGAACUUAUUUAUGCAAACAGUAGCCUUUCAAAAAAACUUAAACUGAGUCUGACAUUGAAAAAAAUUUGCAAACUGGACCAUAAUUCUUGCCUGCCAGAGAUAAAAGUAUGGUCUGAGCUUCAGCUUGGGCUCAGCAAUGCCUCAAUUUUCAGUUCUGAGCCAGGACCCUGAUGGCAAUGCAGCUGCUCAGGUCUCUAGUAACAAUCACUAUCAACAGUGAAUGUAAACUUUGGAAUUGUCUUGAGCUAUACAACUAACCUGAAUUUUUUGUGCGGUUUGAAAAAGAGGGGAUUAAUACAAAACGAUGUUAGAAAGAAAAAUCUCUCGACUUUGAAAUAACAAUUUUUCUUAUGGAACUUAAUGAAAAAUUUCCACAUGUAAUAUGAAUUGUUUUGACAGGCUGUGACAUUUGUGCUGGAAAUGUUACUGAAGGGACUCUAGAUGGGCUAUACUUUGGUCCUCCUUUGAAGCCAACAGCUUCAUAUCCAUUGACUUCAAUCAGAACAAUAUUAU